AAAGGUCUUCCUCUGUUCUUCAGUAAUGAACCUGGACCCUCAGAGUCAAAAGAGAAGAAGAGGAGUCAUGCUUCUGUGGAGGAGCCGAGUCCAUAUUCAGAAAAGACCUCGACUGCAGACGAGUCAGACCAGAACAAGACCUGGACCUCAGACAGCCCGUCAGACCAGCACUGUCAAACAGAUAGAGGUCUGCAGGAGGUUGUAGAUGAACAU